rnacentral:rRNA from 1 species
UACGUAGGGUGCAAGCGUUGUCCGGAAUUAUUGGGCGUAAAGAGCUCGUAGGCGGUCUGUCGCGUCGGCUGUGAAAACUCGGGGCUCAACUCCGAGCUUGCAGUCGAUACGGGCAGGCUAGAGUUCGGCAGGGGAGACUGGAAUUCCUGGUGUAGCGGUGGAAUGCGCAGAUAUCAGGAAGAACACCCGUGGCGAAGGCGGCUCUCUGGAACGCAACUGACGCUGAGACGCGAAAGCGUGGGGAGCAAACAGG